AUGUUCGCCUCCAUCUGCCGGCGGCGGCUCGCCCUCCGAAUCCAUCAAAUCGCUGGCGGUGGCGGCAGGACAAACCCCCUCGAGUUCAUCCCUGGCACCAUCCCUCUCGCCCACUGCUACUCCUCGCCCGCCGUCGCCGAAGUCCCGAGCUCGGAGCCCUGCCCCGACACCGUUUCCUACCUCAUCUCGUGCGGCCUCUCCCCCGCCGCCGCUGGCGCGGCCACCAACUCUCAACACCUCCGCAUCCGCUCCACCGACAAGGCCGACGCUGUGCGCGCCAUCCUCAAGCUCUAUGGCUUCGCCGACGCGGACAUCGUCCGGACGUUGCGCAGCGCCCCGGUUCUCCUCGUCGUUGACCCCGAGCGGGUCCUCCGCCCCAAGCUCGACUUUUUCGCCUCCCUAGGUUUCGAGACCCACAAGCUCGCCACCGAGCCUUUGCUGCUCGCACGCAGCCUCGACAAGCACCUCGUCCCCGCCAUCCAGUUCCUCCGCGGGAUCAUCGGCAGCGACGACGACCUCCGCCGCGCUUUUCACCGCGUCCCCCGCGGCCUCGCUGUGGACCUCGACAACAACAUGCGCCCCGCCGUGGAAGCUCUCCGCCGCGGCGGCCUCGCAGAGGCCGACAUUUCGAAGCUGCUCGUCAUCCGGUUGGGCGUGCUCUUGUCGUCACGGGAUCGCAUCAGCGAAAUCUUUGAGGAACUCAAGGCGAUGGGCAUGUCCGUCCUGGACCCACGCUUCCUCUACUGCUUCCGUGCGAUGUCCGGUGUUAAGAGGGACUCAUGGCUGCGGAAAAUGGCAUUUUACCAGAGCUUCGGGCUGUCAGAGGGUGAGUUGCUGCAGGCCUUCAAGAAGCAGCCCACGAUAUUCCUUUUCGCCGAUGAGAGCAUAAACAAGAAGGUCCGGUUCCUGCUGGACGAGCUGAAGCUUGGAAUAAGUGAUGUAAUUGCGCGGCCUGUAGUUCUAGGUUAUAGCUUGGAGAAGUGCAUCCUGCCGAGGUGUGCCGUGCUGAGUGUGUUGAUGAGGGAGGGGAGGAUUCGGAGAGAUAUCAAAUUGCUUCAGGCAUUGCUUGGCAGUUCCAGGAAUUUCGAGACCAGGUAUGUGUUGAGGCAUGCUGAUGAUGUGCCAGAUGUUGUUAAGGCAUAUCAGGGUAAGAUCAAAUUUGAAGGAUUCAAAUAG
rnacentral:rRNA from 1 species